rnacentral:rRNA from 1 species
GAGUUUGAUCCUGGCUCAGAAUGAACGCUGGCGGCGUGCCUAACACAUGCAAGUCGCACGAGAACGUUUCAGCUUGCUGGAACUAGUAAAGUGGCGCACGGGUGAGUAACGCGUGGGUAAUCUACCUCCGAAUUGGGGAUAACAUUGCGAGAGCGGUGCUAAUACCGAAUAAUAUCUCAAUAACAUCGGUUUUUGAGAUCAAAGGUGGCCUCUCCACGGAAGCUUCUGUUUGGAGAUGAGCCCGCGUACCAUUAGCUUGUUGGUAGGGUAAUGGCCUACCAAGGCGACGAUGGUUAGCUGGUCUGAGAGGAUGAUCAGCCACACUGGAACUGACACACGGUCCAGACUCCUACGGGAGGCAGCAGUGAGGAAUUUUGCGCAAUGGGGGAAACCCUGACGCAGCAACGCCGCGUGAGUGAUGAAGGCUUUCGGGUCGUAAAGCUCUGUCAAGUGGGAAGAACCUGCCUUUUGCUAAUAUCAAUCGGCACUGACGGCACCACUGAAGGAAGCACCGGCUAACUCCGUGCCAGCAGCCGCGGUAAUACGGGGGGUGCAAGCGUUAUUCGGAAUCACUGGGCGUAAAGAGCGCGUAGCGGUUUCUUAAGUC